rnacentral:rRNA from 1 species
UACGUAGGUGGCAAGCGAUACUCGGAAUCACUAGGCGUAAAGCGCAGGUAGGCGGUUUAGUAAGUCUUUUGUGAAAGCUCCCGGCUUAACUGGGAGAGGUCAAAGGAAACUACUAGGCUAGAGUUUGGUAGGGGAUACUGGAAUUCCUGGUGUAGCGGUGAAAUGCGUAGAUAUCAGGAGGAAUACCUAUGGCGAAAGCAGGUAUCUGGGCCACAACUGACGCUGAGCUGCGAAAGCUAGGGGAGCAAACAGG